rnacentral:lncRNA from 1 species
GUCUUGAUGAAAACCGACCUUCUCUUUCAUCCCUUGGCUGCUUGAUAAGACUUAAAACAAUUCCCUGAUUUUAGGGAAGGCCACUGCGUGCACAGAUGGUGAGUUUGUGCAGGCAAGGAAUGUGCCCUCCACGUCACGUGGCCUCCUUGCCCAGCCUGGGUCAUGGGAAGGGAGUGUUGAAUUGAACCACGUCUUUCGUUGGUAGAUUAUGUUCAUCUUCAAUGUUUCUAUUAAGUCUAAAAAGUGGAUACAAAUGGUGCCUCCAAGUUCUUGUCUAAUUGCUUGUCUACUGCUUGACAAAAUCCAGAAUGGAAUGGGCCAAACAAGUUAACCAGCAGGACAGAAACUGCUCUAAGCCCAUUAUUCCUUGAGAUGAAUAGAACAGUGAGCUGAACGCCUGCUCUAAUGAAGCCACUAAAGGGGUUUACAGGAAGGUUAGGAGCCCAGCUGGGUUUUGAGUCCACUGCUGGGAAACAGAUUCUUCACUUCCUGUGGACCCUGGAGAAGCCAUCAGAUUACAUUAACAUGGCUCCACUGAUGAUGGCCUGAGAAUUACUACUGUUUGUGUUUCAUCUGUGUCCUUGCCAGGUCUUCCCCCACAUCCUUACUUCACAGGAUCAGGGGCUGAGAGGAGACCAAUACUCUGGCCCCGGCCUGGUCAAGGGAUGCUGGUUGUUGCUGAUGCAAAGUCACAUUGCCUGGUCCUGAGCUUGGCAAUCAGGCAUCCAGAGAUGGCCAAACCAAAUAUCCCUUUGGCCAGGCACUCAGGCAUUCCCUAUAAUGUUGUGCACUUAAAGCAUCUUGGGCUGAUAGUCUCCACCGAAUCACAGAAGAAAGAACUCAAUCUGCCGCAUCACUCACCAGCUGGAUAAGCCAUUUACUGUACACAGUGUUUGCCCUCUUAUCAAUACAUUGGCACAGAACCAUACACCGUAGAAGCUGCUGUGAUCACUAAAGGCAAUGCCCGUUUAGCCCUGAGCUCAGUGCUUGGCAUGUGGUAGGCAGGUUUGUGUCAGCUCUAACUGAUGGAGUAUGGUGGAGGUGAUGCCAUGCAACUUCCAAGGCAAAGGUAUAAACAAGAUGCAGCUUCUACAUGGCUCUUGCGAUCCUGGGAUGCUCAUCCUGGGAAUCCAGACACCAUGUUGUGAGGAGGCCCAGGCCACAAGGAGAGGCCACCUAUAAGCAUUCAGGCCAGCAGCCCCAGCAUGUCCUGCCUAGGAGUCUCCAGCAGCUGUGGUUUCCUUGGACUGGAGGCUUUUUCUCCUGAUGACAAUCGUGACAGGUCCAUCAGGCAGUGCCUUGAUGAUGUUCCAGGCUUCAAACCGUGUGAGGCCCUGCAUGGCAGUGCCAGCCAGCUGCAAGAUUUCAUCUCCAGGCUGG